UCUGACCUCGUCUCCGACAAUGGCUCAGAAGAUGCACAUGAUGGUGGUGGGAUUAUUCAGAACCUGAAUCAGGAUUCCUCUGACAACAGAUCUGAAGAUGCACAUGAUAGUAAUGACAUUACACAGAACAUGGAUCAGGAUUCCUCUGACAACAGAUCUGAAGAUGCACAUGAUAGUGAAGACAUUACAACCUGCACGCAGACCCUGAAUCUGAUGAACUACCACCAAAUUUGAGGGAAACAACAGAGUCAUCAAUCUUCAGUUUUGCGGACAGUGUUGACUUUGGUGUGUUUGAACCACUAUGGCAGUCUUUUACUGACUCUGAGGCCAUUGGCAGUGGAGAAGAAUUUCCCAUGGAAGACAGCAUUGACAAGUCACUAAAUGAAGAAUCACAUUUGGAUAAUAAUGAAAGGCUUUCUCCAUUAAAUGAUGAGCCACUUUACACAGGCUUACAACUAACCAAAGCACAGAGUUUUUUGCUUAUACUUUUAUAUGCUUUGAGACACUCACUUACUGGUGUGGCCCUGUCUGAUCUUUUAGAUUUGAUUAAUAUUCACUGUCCAGAAAAUGUUCACACUUGAAAGCAUCUGUUCUUACAAGAGCUUAAACAGAUACAGGGUCACUUAGAAUGUCACAUAUACUGUCGCAAUUACAUUGGCGACUAAGUCACUGAUGGGCAGUGUAUUUAACUCUACAUGGGAUAGAAACCGCUCCCUGAAGAAUGGAAAUUUCUUCCUAUACUUA